rnacentral:piRNA from 1 species
UAAGACUCACCAGAGGGUUGCCAUGC